rnacentral:rRNA from 1 species
CCGGCCUGAGAGGGUGUCCGGCCACACUGGGACUGAGAUACGGCCCAGACUCCUACGGGAGGCAGCAGUGGGGAAUAUUGCACAAUGGGCGCAAGCCUGAUGCAGCGACGCCGCGUGGGGGAUGACGGCCUUCGGGUUGUAAACCUCUUUCAGUAGGGACGAAGCGCAAGUGACGGUACCUACAGAAGAAGGACCGGCCAACUACGUGCCAGCAGCCGCGGUAAUACGUAGGGUCCGAGCGUUGUCCGGAAUUACUGGGCGUAAAGAGCUCGUAGGUGGUUUGUCGCGUUGUUCGUGAAA